rnacentral:rRNA from 1 species
UCCUGGCUCAGGAUGAACGCUAGCUACAGGCUUAACACAUGCAAGUCGAGGGGCAGCAUAACGAAGCUUGCUUUGUUGAUGGCGACCGGCGCACGGGUGAGUAACGCGUAUCCAACCUUCCCUGUAGUAGAGAAUAGCCCGGCGAAAGUCGGAUUAAUGCUCUAUGUUGUAUUUCGAUGACAUCUGAAGAAUACCAAAGGUUUACCGCUAUAGGAUGGGGAUGCGUCUGAUUAGGUUGUUGCGGGGUAACGGCCCACCAAGCCUACGAUCAGUAGGGGUUCUGAGAGGAAGGUCCCCCACAUUGGAACUGAGACACGGUCCAAACUCCUACGGGAGGCAGCAGUGAGGAAUAUUGGUCAAUGGACGGAAGUCUGAACCAGCCAAGUAGCCGUGCAGGAUGACGGCCCUAUGGGUUGUAAACUGCUUUUAUAUAGGGAUAAAGUCGGGGACGUGUCCCCGUUUGUAGGUACUAUAUGAAUAAGGACCGGCUAAUUCCGUGCCAGCCGCAGC